rnacentral:lncRNA from 1 species
GGGCAGGGAGAGGUCCCAAACCCCUCAGUUGGAUGCCCUGUUUAAUGUGGGAAGGAAGAUAAUGAGGUAAAGCGAGGCAGAGGGAGGGCCCCCUCCUUGCCCCUCCCCUUCAUUGCUGUGAUGUCAGUGGGGUAACAGCAGUUCUCAGGGUAACUAUCCCAACCCCAAACCAUCCUAGACUCCUCUCUGAUCAGCUGUGAAGAUGGUGCCUUGUGGCUUAUUCCCAUCUGGGAUGGAUCGUUCUACAAUGCUGUGUGUCCCAUUGGGCCAAAAGUACUGGUUUGGUGCUGAAAUCCAACUCCAUUCCUCACCAGCUGUAUUCCCAAGGAAUCCUCCUUCCCCAUCCUCCCCAAGCUCCCAACUUCUAUCUCCAACUGAUGUGCAGAAAUCAAACUCUAUAACCACAGAGUGGUUAUAAAGCAGGAUAUUUUACAGGUUCUGACUCAGGUUCAGAGAUUUUAAGUUUACCGUCUGGAAUUAAAGCAUUCUUCAACUGCCUGUUCUGCCACCUGAUCCGCCAUCUUAUCUCCAGUUUCCUGUACAGUGCUACCUUUCUGAUGUCCUUUACAGAGUAUAAUAGCCAUGCUCUUUGGUAGUGUACAUCAUACUGAAUGUUUUCCUUGUGUGUGAGCAAUCCUUGCUCUUUCCAGAGGGCACUAUGAGCGUGUUCCACCCCAAAAGCAUGUUUAGCAUCUGACCAUGUAUUUAAGGCUCUUGUCAAGGCAGUUAUUGCAGCCUUCUGAGCCAAGUCCCCACAGGCAAUGGUUGUUCGAUUACCUGGUCAGUAGCAGUUACUGCAUAUCCUGCCUUACGGUUGCCUUGUCUCACAACACUGCUUCUGUCGGAUGAACCCAGGAAUCCUCAGCACUGUCCAAUGGUUCCUCCUGUAGGUCUGGCCGACUGGCACAGUCAGUCUCCAAGCAGUCGCACGCUGCCGGUUUGGAGGUAGUUCUGUGUUGGUGUUAGAAUCAUGGAAUGGCCUGGGUUGAGAAGGACCUCAAAGAUCGUCCAGUUCCAACCCCUGCUAUGUGCAGGGUCACCAACCGACGGACCAGGCUGCCCAGAGCCUUGUCUUGAAGAAGAUUGUUUUUAGGAGAACAAAAACUUUGGAUCACCUUUCAAAUACAGAGAAAAAAAUAACGCUGUAUUAUUUUUUUGUUUUAUUUUCCUGUUGUUAUGAUCAGGUAAAGAGACAGACAUAUCACAUCUCAGAAAUGGCUUUACUUCAGUGGCCUUAAAUGGUCCCUCUGUGAUCAUUAUUUUCUUAUUGAAUCGCUGUCAGACACAGCUGGUGGAUUUUUGUACGUGCAGUUUGGAGUUCCUGGCUAAAAUGAACCACAUGAAUACAGAUUACGGAUAUUCUUAUCUCAGCACGCUAUUUGAGAUGAGCAUUCAAAUUACAAGACCUUCAGUCUGCUGUUUUAAUCUGACCCAGAAGGAAAACUUCACUACAGUUCGUUUCCUUGAUUCCCGUGCAAUUUUAUUUUGGAACUGAAGCUCAAUCGAAUUUAAACAACUUUUUUGAAAGUCUGUAAUGAAAGUUGCAUUUUUGCUUACACGUAGCCGCUUUGACCCACGGUGAAUGGAAGUCAUAAAGCAGGGUAUAAAGGGAGUUUCUAAAUUGCCUGUUGUUGAGUCCAUUGAAGGCAACAGGAGAGUCCAGAAUGUGACCUUUGAGAGCAAAUUUGCCUCUGCUUCUUACUGAAUUUUGUGUUGCGUUUUUCUGUAUAUAUAUUUCUUUUGGCUCAGAAAUACAAAUUAUAAUGAAGGUGAGGCACUUCACAAUACUUUUGGCUUCAGCAUUGCUGAAUAUACAUUUGUAUAUGUAUAUAUAUUAUAUAUAUAUUGUACAGCAAAACAUUUCAGAAUCUGCAGAACGUUGCUAAUAACUGCAGUGGAACAGGGAGGAAUAGUGAAAACAGAUUUCUGCUUUGAAUGCUUUCAAAUUUAAUAAUUAAUGCAUUUUAUUUUUACUUGUAUAGGAUUAUCAUGAACUCUAGAUAGG